UGGGGAAUAUUGCGCAAUGGGGGGAACCCUGACGCAGCCAUGCCGCGUGAAUGAAGAAGGCCUUAGGGUUGUAAAGUUCUUUCGGCAUUGAGGAAGGUUGAUGUGUUAAUAGCACAUCAAAUUGACGUUAAAUACAGAAGAAGCACCGGCUAACUCCGUGCCAGCAGCCGCGGUAAUACGGAGGGUGCGAGCGUUAAUCGGAAUAACUGGGCGUAAAGGGCACGCAGGCGGUUAUUUAAGUGAGGUGUGAAAGCCCCGGGCUUAACCUGGGAAUUGCAUUUCAGACUGGGUAACUAGAGUACUUUAGGGAGGGGUAGAAUUCCACGUGUAGCGGUGAAAUGCGUAGAGAUGUGGAGGAAUACCGAAGGCGAAGGCAGCCCCUUGGGAAUGUACUGACGCUCAUGUGCGAAAGCGUGGGGAGCAAACAGGAUUAGAUACCCUGGUAGUCCACGCUGUAAACGCUGUCGAUUUGGGGGUUGGGGUUUAACUCUGGCGCCCGUAGCUAACGUGAUAAAUCGACCGCCUGGGGAGUACGGCCGCAAGGUUA
rnacentral:rRNA from 1 species